AUGGCGCAUAUAGAAGCUGCUGUCAGCAGGAAGCAACGUCACCUGCGGAGCGAUUUGUUGCCUAAUUUGGAGUGGGGCGGCGGCCAUGGGGUUAACUGGGCGACUCUGAUAUGGUGUGAAGCGAGGGACGAGAUGGCACACCUGGUUCAGAGGGACAGGAGUGACCAUGACUGCUACUAUGGCGCAUACCUGCAAAGGCUCAUUUGGUGGCAGAGGCCAGACCUCUUCCAGUUGCCGCUGGAGCCCGGCGCAUCGCGCGCCCAACAGCAACAGGCAAUUCGCACCAACCAAUCAGCUUCCGAUGAGAUCCAAACGCUCCGCUCGGAACUGCUGCUCAAGAUACAUCAGGUUGAAGUGAGAUCCAAGCAGAUCGAUUUGGCAUUAGAGAAGAUCGACGCCGCCUCCAAGGCCAUCGAUGCGACGUCCAAGAAAUUUGAUGCGAUAUCCAAGCAGCUGGAUGCGAGAUCAAAGCAGCUGGAUGCAAGGUCGGAGCAGCUUGGUGUGAUACCUGAACCAAACAUUGAGCAAGAAGGGGACGCUCACGCGCUCAAGCAGGUGCUGGCUGCCAAGGAGAAAAAAAGAAACGAUGACUUGCAAGACGCUUGGAAUGCUCGGAAAGUGCUGAUGUUGGCCUUGCCCUCGGAUAAGUCUACAAAUGCGCGUGCACAUAUAGGUGUCAGAUGGAUGGGUGAGCUUGACCCAAGAGCGUUUGCAAAUGCUUGCAAAAAUGCAGCACAACAGGAUGCACAAGUUAAUUAUGAUACUCUUUGCUCCAUGUGGCAAGAUGAAAUUGCGAACCCAAAUUGGCGCCCGUAUAGGGUAUUCACUGUUGAUGGUAAAGAGACGAGAAUUCUCUCCAAGGAUGACACCAAGCUUCAGAAGUUAAAAGAAGAGCAUGGUCAAGAAAUCUACGCCUUGGUAACAAAUGCACUGCUUGAGAUCAACGAGUACGACCCCUGCUGCCGCGUAGGUGUACCAGAGCUGUGGAACAAGAAGGAUGGUCGAAGAGCAACACUGGAAGAAACCAUCCAGUUUGUCCUUGAACAGAAGCAGUCAAACAAGAGGAAGCGCUGA
rnacentral:rRNA from 1 species